rnacentral:tRNA from 1 species
GGAGAGAUGGCUGAGUGGCCGAAAGCGCCUCACUGCUAACGAGGUAGGGAUGAAAGUCCCUCGUGGGUUCGAAUCCCACUCUCUCCG